GGGGGCGACCUGGCUUCGACGCGGGUUGCGAAACCGGAGGUGCAUGCCGAGAAGGAGAUCUCUCGUAAAUAAGACUCAGUAAAUAUAAAUGCAAACGAUGAAAACUUUGCUGGUGAAGCUAUCGCUGCGUAAGCUUUGAUAGUGUAAACCAACCGUGUGCUGCCAAAAAACCAGCACCCCGUUCGACCGAGCCCGCUUAUCGGUAUCGAAUCAACGGUCAUAAGAGAUAAGCUAGCAAUCCCGCCCGUCUCGAGCGUGCUUGCGAAAUUCAGAGAAUCGCUGUGUCUAAUCCUGCCUGUCGGAGGAGCCACAGCUAAAACCAAUCGACAAGGCUAAGCAUGUAGAACUAAAGGCAGAGGAUUUGCGGACGCGGGUUCGAUUCCCGCCGCCUCCACCA
rnacentral:tmRNA from 2 species